CCUACGGGGGGCUGCAGUGGGGAAUAUUGCACAAUGGGCGCAAGCCUGAUGCAGCCAUGCCGCGUGUGUGAAGAAGGCCUUCGGGUUGUAAAGCACUUUCAGCGGGGAGGAAGGCGUUAAGGUUAAUAACCUUGGCGAUUGACGUUACCCGCAGAAGAAGCACCGGCUAACUCCGUGCCAGCAGCCGCGGUAAUACGGAGGGUGCAAGCGUUAAUCGGAAUUACUGGGCGUAAAGCGCACGCAGGCGGUCUGUCAAGUCGGAUGUGAAAUCCCCGGGCUCAACCUGGGAACUGCAUUCGAAACUGGCAGGCUAGAGUCUUGUAGAGGGGGGUAGAAUUCCAGGUGUAGCGGUGAAGUGCGUAGAGAUCUGGAGGAAUACCGGUGGCGAAGGCGGCCCCCUGGACAAAGACUGACGCUCAGGUGCGAAAGCGUGGGGAGCAAACAGGAUUAGAUACCCGGGUAGUC
rnacentral:rRNA from 1 species